UUCUUAUAAUAUAAAUUUUUAAUACAAAGUAAAUUCAACAGAUCACAAAGAAAAAUAUUACUUGUAAACCUAGGUAUCUUAAAAAUAAAUUUAAUUACACGUGUUAAAGUAGAAUAUAAAGAAAUAUUAUGGUAAUUAUUUGCUUGAUCCCGAAAAACCAUACCAUAAUUUAUAACUGAUUGAAACAAAGAUAGAUACAACAUUCGCUUCAUAGUUUAUUUACGUUUUUUUUCUUACUUUCAUAGAAACAAUUAAACCUUGGGUAAUCGAAUUUUUUAAUUUUUAGAAUUGUAUUUCUUACAGCUAAUUGAAGAUAAAAUAAUAAGUUCUAAAAUUUUAAGAUUGAAUUUACUAAUUGAAUUAUCUAUUUCCGUAUCAUCGAGUAAAUUAUCCCAGCUUUCAGUGUCGAUAAGCAUAUUCAAAUGAAUAAAAUUAAUUUUAUAAUUAUUCUCAAUAAUACCAUUAUUACUAUUACUAUAUGUAUACUUAUACAUUUAUUACAUUUUUUUAUGAACUGAACCUGGUUCUUGAAUGUCUCAAUAAGAGUACACUUAAGCAUUGAGCAAAAACCAUAAAAAUAAAACUGUCCUAGGAUAAUGAAGAUGGGUGCAGCCAUUGUUAUGGGUAAGAAGUUGGAAAGGUAAUAGAGGGAAAAUUUGAUGUAUAUUUGUAAGGAACAAUAACCCAUUGCUAAUGAAAAAACGAUUGUGAGCGGAGUACGGUUGAUAGUAUUGCUUUGUCAACAAUAUAUGUCAUAUUAUGGUAAAAUAAUUACAUAUUCAUUACCUAUAUAUUUUCUUGAAUACUAUUUGUUCAAUCCUGUACCUAUUAUCCCGUGAUUCUCAUAAUUUUUCUCGGGUUAACCAAUUUCUUAGGAAAACUCCUAGAAAAAUCAAGAAAUGAUCUCCUUAAAAUACUUCCCCAGUCAGAUUUCCUCUUAGAAAAAUUUUUAUUAUAAAUUGGAACAAAAUUUCUAGUAGAAAAGGUGUCCAAAAAUAAAUAAAUAAACAACAUUGUAAAACCAAUACAUUCCUUGCUCCACUCAGAAUCUAAAACUGUAAAAAGCUUAUAGUAUAAUUCAUACUUCAACCCCCCAUCAAUGGAGGGGAUUGCUACGCCAAUUUUUGUAGAGUUUAAGACUUACGCUGAGGGUACACCAAUAUCAGAUUUGGAUAAUUGGGUCAGUUGGUCCUAUUAUUACACCCGGACAAUUACAAACUUUUUAAAUUGUUUUAUAACUUUGGAAUUAAAAUAUAUUUCUACCAAAUUUCGAUUGCACCAUCUCAGCGUCGAAAAAAAAACGUAUUUUGUGCAAGAAUACUCAAUUUUGUGUGACGUUUCACUAAACUAGAAUAUUUGUUUUUAUACUUUUUUUGUUCAUAUUUCAUAGGCGUAGUUUUAAUUUAUAUAUUAAUUAAAACAAAAGAUUUUUAAAAUAAAUGCAUAGGUAAGCAGAUUCAAUGUACCCGCAGCAACGAACUUGGUGUUAAAACUUUUAUGUUUUUUUUUUUCAAAUGUUUAAUUAUAUAUUUUACUUUACUAUUUCUACUGAGUAGAAUGAGAAAUAUAUUGGUUUUACAAUUAUGUUUAUUUACUUUUUAUUUUUAACCGGGAACAACUUUUCUACCAGAUAUCUCGCUCCGACUUAGUUUAGAACUUUUUCUGAAAGAAAAUUGGACUAGGGAGAUAAUUUAAGAAAAACAUUUUUUGAUUUUUCAAAUAAAUAAAAAUCACCCGGACAAACGGGAAAAUUGAUAUUAAACAAAUUAAACAAAUAU